CCGGAUCAAGAACAACUGGCAUACAACUCCCCGUAGGCUAGGACAGGCAGUGAUCUUUACUUGCGGGAAUUGUUAACCUGCGGCCUUUCCGCUGUCGAUGCUGCCCCUCUUGAAGUGUCGCGUUUGAAAUGAGCGACUGUCAGAUUCCGCCCAUACAGAGGUACUUGAUUUCGAGAUAAUCCUCGAUGCCGUACCUGGAGCCCUCGCAUUGCCGCUUUCCUUGACACCGCCGAAGGGGGCGACCUCGGUUGAAAUGAUGCCUUCGUUGAUGCCGACCAUGCCGUACUCAAGCGCCUCGGCGACG
rnacentral:misc_RNA from 1 species